UUCACGAGGUGCAUGUGGUUGCCUGCGUUAAACGUAUAAACUGUUAAAUUAGAUGGCGACUCUGCAUUAAACGUAUUUAUUUAAUUAAUCGGCGAUCGUAUUUCACCAGAGGACUAAGAUAAAACAACUCGAUUUAAAAUAUGAGCAGUUUUAGUGGAUCUGACGUCGAGGGAAAAAGUAUUUCGCUUUUUGUUUGGAGAUGAACGAGACAACACGAGGCACAGCGACAUAAAUAUGACCAACCAGAUCCCAAGUAGACAGGAACAAAUGAAGAUAUAGCGCAUAGAAAGACUUAUUCUUGGUGAUCAACUGCUAUUGACAUUUUUGAAUUGGGGCAAAUGUGGAGUGAAGAAAAACGUUUGCAACACAUCCAUUCCAGAGUGCUCUGACAGAUAAAACUGACACACUUGAUGAGGACACAGUCAAAGCUUUAAAAGACCGUGUGAUAAAGCAGUCUUCAAUUACUACGGUGUCUGAAUUGCAAGAAGAAAUGACCCUCCACUUAAACAUGUGACAUCUAAACUGUUUUGUGUUUUAGUUCAGCUUUUUAUAGGUUUAUCUUAAGUUGGUUAAAGGCGGAGUGCACUAUUUUUGAAAGCCAAUGUUAACAUUUGAAAUUACCUAAACAAACAUGCCUCUACCCCAAUAGAAUCUGGACCUUCUUUUGAUAGAGCCACCACACACAUACGCAACCCCGGCAAGGAUGUCGGUUAGUAGACACACCCCUUACUGCUGGUUGGCUACAAGUGUGUUUUGGUAGUCGGCCCAAUUUCCUUUUCCAAAGCGUUUUUCAAACAUUGUGCACUCAGUCUUUAAAUUGCACUUAAAACAUUUUUUUUAGUAACUUUUUAUGCAGAGAAUUACAUUAUGAUUAUUAUAUAAUCAUUGCUUAUGAAUAUUUAGUGAUUGCAUAUUCAUAGUGUACUUUUCAUUAAUACAUUUAAUGUUAAUGUUGUACAAUUUGAUAGAAGUAGCUCUGUAAUUGCAUUUCUCUGA